rnacentral:lncRNA from 1 species
AAUUAUGAAUAAGAGGUGCGUUCCUAGCCUAUCAAGAGAUGGUUAAUUUUGCUAAGCUUAAAGAAAGACUUAGGUUGGGGGGAGAUGAUAGUUAUCCAUACUAUACUCGGAAGCUAAUCACAUUAACACUUAGCUUUUAGUGGAAGAAUUUGAUUUGGAUCUUUUGAGAGUGGAAAUUCUUUUGAUGCUUAAAACUUGCAUAAUAUCCAUUCUUUGUACUCUAUGAUCAAGUGAAUGCUUUGACAACUCUUAUUAUAGGUUGAGUUUCACAUCUUUAUUGAUCCAUGGAUGUCCAUCAUGCCACUCAUAUCAUUUUUUGGAGUGAUUUUCAUGAUCCCUUUUAUGUAUAUUAUUAUAGUUUACUUAGUUUUUAUCUCCUCCAUUGCUAAGGGA